rnacentral:rRNA from 1 species
UACGUAGGGUGCGAGCGUUGUCCGGAAUUAUUGGGCGUAAAGGGCUCGUAGGCGGUUUGUCACGUCGGGAGUGAAAACUCAGGGCUUAACCCUGAGCCUGCUCCCGAUACGGGCAGACUAGAGGUAUGCAGGGGAGAAUGGAAUUCCUGAUGUAGCGGUGAAAUGCGCAGAUAUCAGGAGGAACACCGGUGGCGAAGGCGGUUCUCUGGGCAUUACCUGACGCUGAGGAGCGAAAGUGUGGGGAGCGAACAGG